UACAGAGGAUGCAAGCGUUAUCCGGAAUCACUGGGCAUAAAGCGUCUGUAGGUGGUUUAGUAAGUCUGCUGUUAAAGACUGGGGCUCAACCCCAGAAAAGCAGUGGAAACUGCUAGACUUGAGUGUGGUAGAGGUAAAGGGAAUUUCCAGUGGAGCGGUGAAAUGCGUAGAUAUUGGAAAGAACACCGAUGGCGAAGGCACUUUACUGGGCUAUUACUGACGCUCAUGGACGAAAGCGUGGGGAGCGAACAGG
rnacentral:rRNA from 1 species